rnacentral:tRNA from 1 species
GGAGGGAUGGCAGAGCGGCCGAUUGCACCCGUCUUGAAAACGGGAGACCGACAAGGUCCGGGGGUUCGAAUCCCUCUCCCUCCG